UCCUGGCUCAGAUUGAACGCUGGCGGCAGGCCUAACACAUGCAAGUCGAACGGUAACAGGAAGAAGCUUGCUCUUGCUGACGAGUGGCGGACGGGUGAGUAAUGUCUGGGAAACUGCCUGAUGGAGGGGGAUAACUACUGGAAACGGUAGCUAAUACCGCAUAACGUCGCAAGACCAAAGAGGGGGACCUUCGGGCCUCUUGCCAUCGGAUGUGCCCAGAUGGGAUUAGCUAGUAGGUGGGGUAACGGCUCACCUAGGCGACGAUCCCUAGCUGGUCUGAGAGGAUGACCAGCCACACUGGAACUGAGACACGGUCCAGACUCCUACGGGAGGCAGCAGUGGGGAAUAUUGCACAAUGGGCGCAAGCCUGAUGCAGCCAUGCCGCCGUGUAUGAAGAAGGCCUUCGGGUUGUAAAGUACUUUCAGCGGGGAGGAAGGGAGUAAAGUUAAUACCUUUGCUCAUUGACGUUACCCGCAGAAGAAGCACCGGCUAACUCCGUGCCAGCCGCAGC
rnacentral:rRNA from 1 species